rnacentral:rRNA from 15 species
UGAAGUGAAGCACAUACACCUGCUGAAUUUAAGCAUAUAAGUAAGUGGUGGAAAUUAAACCAAAUGGGAUAUCUUUAGUAAUUGCGAAUGAACAAGGAUAUGCUUAGCUUGACAAAUGGAGCUAUUGGCUUUGAAUUGUAUUGUGGAAAUGUAUUACCAACAGAGGUGCAGGUGCCAGCCUAUUGAAAUAAAGCGUCAAUGAGGGUGAGAAUCCUGUUUGUCAUGUGCAGCCCUUUGUGCACGGUGUAUAUUUGCUGAGUCACACUCCUUGGCAUUGGAAUGCAAAGUGGGUGGUAAGUUUCAUGUAAAGGUAAACAUGCAAUUGAGACUGAUAGC